rnacentral:rRNA from 1 species
AGAGUUUGAUCCUGGCUCAGGACGAACGCCGGCGGUGUGCCUAAUACAUGCAAGUCGUACGCACUGGCCCAACUGAUUGAUGGUGCUUGCACCUGAUUGACGAUGGAUCACCAGUGAGUGGCGGACGGGUGAGUAACACGUAGGUAACCUGCCUCGGAGCGGGGGAUAACAUUUGGAAACAGAUGCUAAUACCGCAUAACAACAAAAGCCACAUGGCUUUUGUUUGAAAGAUGGCUUUGGCUAUCACUCUGGGAUGGACCUGCGGUGCAUUAGCUAGUUGGUAAGGUAACGGCUUACCAAGGCAAUGAUGCAUAGCCGAGUUGAGAGACUGAUCGGCCACAAUGGAACUGAGACACGGUCCAUACUCCUACGGGAGGCAGCAGUAGGGAAUCUUCCACAAUGGGCGCAAGCCUGAUGGAGCAACACCGCGUGAGUGAAGAAGGGUUUCGGCUCGUAAAGCUCUGUUGUUGGAGAAGAACGUGCGUGAGAGUAACUGUUCACGCAGUGACGGUAUCCAACCAGAAAGUCACGGCUAACUACGUGCCAGCAGCCGCGGUAAUACGUAGGUGGCAAGCGUUAUCCGGAUUUAUUGGGCGUAAAGCGAGCGCAGGCGGUUGCUUAGGUCUGAUGUGAAAGCCUUCGGCUUAACCGAAGAAGUGCAUCGGAAACCGGGCGACUUGAGUGCAGAAGAGGACAGUGGAACUCCAUGUGUAGCGGUGGAAUGCGUAGAUAUAUGGAAGAACACCAGUGGCGAAGGCGGCUGUCUGGUCUGCAACUGACGCUGAGGCUCGAAAGCAUGGGUAGCGAACAGGAUUAGAUACCCUGGUAGUCCAUGCCGUAACCGAUGAGUGCUAGGUGUUGGAGGGUUUCCGCCCUUCAGUGCCGGAGCUAACGCAUUAAGCACUCCGCCUGGGGAGUACGACCGCAAGGUUGAAACUCAAAGGAAUUGACGGGGGCCCGCACAAGCGGUGGAGCAUGUGGUUUAAUUCGAAGCUACGCGAAGAACCUUACCAGGUCUUGACAUCUUGCGCUAACCUUAGAGAUAAGGCGUUCCCUUCGGGGACGCAAUGACAGGUGGUGCAUGGUCGUCGUCAGCUCGUGUCGUGAGAUGUUGGGUUAAGUCCCGCAACGAGCGCAACCCUUGUUACUAGUUGCCAGCAUUAAGUUGGGCACUCUAGUGAGACUGCCGGUGACAAACCGGAGGAAGGUGGGGGCGACGUCAGAUCAUCAUGCCCCUUAUGACCUGGGCUACACACGUGCUACAAUGGACGGUACAACGAGUCGCAAGCUCGCGAGAGUAAGCUAAUCUCUUAAAGCCGUUCUCAGUUCGGACUGUAGGCUGCAACUCGCCUACACGAAGUCGGAAUCGCUAGUAAUCGCGGAUCAGCAUGCCGCGGUGAAUACGUUCCCGGGCCUUGUACACACCGCCCGUCA